GAUGAAGAACGCAGCGAAAUGCGAUAAGUAAUGUGAAUUGCAGAAUUCAGUGAAUCAUCGAAUCUUUGAACGCACAUUGCGCCCGCCAGUAUUCUGGCGGGCAUGCCUGUUCGAGCGUCAUUUCAACCCUCAAGCCCAGCUUGGUGUUGGGAAUCGGCACAGGCGCCCUCGGGCGCCCGCCGUCCCCUAAAUCUAGUGGCGGUCCCGCUGCAGCCUCCUCUGCGUAGUAGUUUUCUCCUCGCAAGGGCAGCUCGGUGGCGACCUCGCCGUAAAACCCCCAACUUCUGAAAGGUUGACCUCGAAUCAGGUAGGAAUACCCGCUGAACUUAAGCAUAUCAAUAAGCGGAGGA
rnacentral:misc_RNA from 1 species